CUCUUUCUCUUUCAAAAUAUCUUAUUGUACUGUACUCAUCUACUUCCAGAGCUCAGUUGAUCGUGGAUAACUGACAUAAGGAAGGCAAAAGUGGGUGAAGGAGGCCUGCUGAAUUGGGAAAUUGUUAGACAACAUUCUACAACGGCUGAACAGUGCUUGUCAUUUCAGUGCUGUACAAGAAUAUUAAUGAUGUGGAAAGCUGUCCAUUAUAAUAAAGUUCAAAAAGAACUUGCAAAAUACAAGAUGCAUUAUGAUCCCAUUUGGUAUAAAUAUUGGAAAUGUAUGCAUCAGUGUCUAAGGAUUGGGAUUCAGGAGGUUUUCCUUUUCUCCCAGCUCAUCUGUGGUCUUCUCUAUUUCUAUAAGAACAGGUAUUGUGUAAAACAAAAACAUUUGCAUUUACUACGGUCCCUCCCUGCUUUCUACCGAGUCUGUGUUACUGGGCACAGAGAUGGUCCUGGAAGAACAGAGAUCUUAAGAAGGAACGGGCCUGUUCCAGGAGCUGGGAAUUUGAUUGCCUUUUUGUCCCACGGUGAUCCCUCCAGGUCCCCAGGUUGGGUUGAGAGCUCUGUCACAACAACCUUUGGGUUGUGGUCCAUGCCCAUGUCACGCAGUAGAGGGUUCCUCUGUAAAGUAGAAAUAAUCGCCUCCACUCUCCCUGUUGGAAAUUGAAUGGCUUUAUGCACGUAAAGCACCCAGCCCGAGGCCUGGUACACACUGAGUGCGCAGUAAAAGCCCAGCCAUGGGCACCCUACCUUGUGCUCUUCUCUCAGCUGUCCUUGUGCUUCUCUGCUUCCAUUCCUGAUUCCUCCUCGCUCCGUCUUUUCUCACCUUCCGUCUCUAGUCCUUACUCCCAUAAUUCC
rnacentral:lncRNA from 1 species